rnacentral:rRNA from 1 species
AUACGUAGGGGGCGAGCGUUGUCCGGAAUGAUUGGGCGUAAAGGGCGCGUAGGCGGCCCGGUAAGUCUGGAGUGAAAGUCCUGUUUUUAAGAUGGGAAUUGCUUUGGAUACUGUCGGGCUUGAGUGCAGGAGAGGUAAGUGGAAUUCCCAGUGUAGCGGUGAAAUGCGUAGAGAUUGGGAGGAACACCAGUGGCGAAGGCGACUUACUGGACUGUAACUGACGCUGAGGCGCGAAAGUGUGGGGAGCAAACAGGAUUAGAUACCCUGGUAGUCCACACUGUAAACGAUGAAUGCUAGGUGUAGGAGGUAUCGACCCCUUUUGUGCCGGAGUCAACACAAUAAGCAUUCCGCCUGGGGAGUACGGCCGCAAGGUUGAAACUCAAAUGAAUUGACGGGG